rnacentral:rRNA from 1 species
GACGAACGCUGGCGGCGUGCUUAACACAUGCAAGUCGAACGGAAAGGCCCUGCUUUUGUGGGGUGCUCGAGUGGCGAACGGGUGAGUAACACGUGAGUAACCUGCCCUUGACUUUGGGAUAACUUCAGGAAACUGGGGCUAAUACCGGAUAGGAGCUCCUGCUGCAUGGUGGGGGUUGGAAAGUUUCGGCGGUUGGGGAUGGACUCGCGGCUUAUCAGCUUGUUGGUGGGGUAGUGGCUUACCAAGGCUUUGACGGGUAGCCGGCCUGAGAGGGUGAGCGGCCACAUGGGGACUGAGAUACGGACCAGACGCCUAUGGGAGGCAGCAGUGGGGAAUAUUGCACAGUGGGCGGAAGCCUGAUGCAGCAACGCCGCGUGCGGGAUGACGGUCUUCGGGUUGUAAACCGCUGUCGCCUGUGACGAAGCGUGAGUGACGGUAAUGGGUAAAGAAGCACCGGCUAACUACGUG